AGUAGUAUAUGUAGUUGUACGUGGUAUUUCACUAGUAUAUGUAGUUGUUUGUGUAGUAUUUCACUAGUAUAUGUAGUUGUGUGUAGUAUUUUACUAGUGGUCUUGGUUUGUGGGUCUACUUUAUCCCAGAAUUUUCUAUACUGGGAUUGGAAGGAGGCACCGCUGCAUAUAGACGAGCUUCAUUUCAGGAACUGAAUCAAACCCUGAAUCUGCCGUAUCGUCAUGGUGACCCAAUGCAUCCCAGGUUCUGUUAGUGUUCUUCUCAUGCUGGUAGCUCUUCAUGUCAGCCUUACACACCUGGAGCUACUCUGGUGUUUGGGAGAAAAUCAGAUGGUUAAUCCAUCCAGUCUCCUGCAGAUGAUGAAGAUGAAGCCUCAUCCUGUUUAUCUUUGAUGGAAACAUCAACUAUUUCUCCACCAUCAGACAGAACCACAACUGAACCUGAACCAGGCUGCAUGUCUGUGCUCCGACAACCAGAGACCACAGGUUUCACUUCCGUUCUCUGAAACAGACUCGCUGUUUCUGCAUUUCUUCUGAGAUCAAACACCAGGAAGUAAACGGCUGCAGAGCUCUGCUGGUUCCACCACCAGAACCUGCUGAUGGAUCUGCAGUGGAUGUUGUUGCUGAUGGUUCUGGUCUGUUCAGAAACUCAGAAUGUAACGGAUCAAACGGUCAAAGCAGAACUUGGACAGGCUGUUACUUUAACCUGCUCCUUUAACUUCACUGACAUCUACUGGUACAUGGAGGUCCACCACAAGAUCAGAGCGAGUAUUGGACGCUCCUAUUCUCCAACAUCGUCCACCUUCAGCUCUCCUGACUUUGAAAGCAAGUAUCUGAUAUCUGAGAACAGACUGGUGGUGAAAGACAUCUCUGCAGAGGACUUCAGAAGGUACUUCUGUGGCAGGAAGAUCAGCGGGUCGAUAGUUUAUGGAGAUACCUUCAGGCUGGUCUCAGGUAGGACUUUAGGUUUAAUCCAGGAAACUAUAUUCAAGUCAUCAAAGCAGACUUUCAGUUUGAUUGCAGGAGCAAAUACAACUUCUAAUAUGAAAUGAUCUUCUGAAAUCCUAACAUGAAACAGUAGGAGGCGACAUUAACCAGGAAGUACCAAGUUGUGUCUGAGGUCAUCCAUCCAUACUUUUCUAGAGAAACUGGACCUCUGCAGGGUGGAGGGGGACAGUGUCCACCUGCAGUGGUCAGUGAGUGAGAAACUCUGGAAAGGUCUCCAGUCAGGGUCACUGUAGACACUUUCUUACUGCUUUUCAGAAGCUGUGAAGGACGACUUUAGGUAGAAAUCUGUUAUUUUUCUGCAGAGUAUCUCCAUCAGGUCUAGAAAGGACAGGUCCACCAUGAUGUCCAUCCUGAAUGUUCAUGCAUUAAACUACAUCACAUGUAAUGGACCUUGCAGCUCUGGAGAGUAGAAAACUACCCAGCACGUUCCUCAGUCCACUUCUCCACCAGAUGUUCCUCACUGUGAAGCUGACCAUCAUUUACUGCUCAGCUGUGGUCCUCAGCUUCCUGCUCUCUCUAACAGCAGCUCUGCUUUGUUCUUGUUGGAAGAGGAAAAGAGUCCAGGUGGAUGAAGCCUCCAACCAGCAGCUGCUGCAGCUCUGACUGCUGCUGGAACCUGGACUGAUGAAGCUACCAUCUCCUGAUAGACAUCAACCUGCUGCUCUGGACCUCAGUCUGAACACCUCCACUCAGACUGGUACCACCAAGGACUCUGGUCUUCAUAAACACAGUAAACAGUGGAGAUGAUUCUUUCUGAAGGUCUUCUUUAGAUAAAACCCCAGCAGUCCACCUCUAAGGGACAGUUGCUCCUCUCAACCUUCUGCAGAACAGAAGCUUCUUCAUUUAAUGCAAAGUGUUAAAGAUUCUGGACAGUGUUGGACCUUCUGAAACAGAGAUGAUCAGACCACCAACUGUGAAUCUGAAGCAGAGGUGUGACUUCUGAUCUGAGUUUGUGAUUUUAUUGGUUCUUCUUCUGUGUUUAGUUUUAUUGUUCUGCUUCAUUCCUGAUCUUUUUAGAUGUUCAGCAUUUUGUCUAAACUGUAAUCAAGAAAAGAUAUGAUCAUGUAUUUUGGUUCAGCAAAAUUUGUUAAAUGUAAAUCCAAUAUUGAAGUAUUCUGAACAUUAAAAGAUUGUAAGUUAUGCAUUAGCUAAAUAAUGUAUGUAUGUAUUGUACUUUUUAAAGGGUGGUAAGAACAUUUUAGAAUAUUUUGUGUCACUUGUGCAUAUCUACCAGAGUAAUAUCAAGUAUGGUCCCUAGAUUAGUGUCUCAGCUUCAUGUUGUUUAUUAUAAAAAUGACUUAUCUUGAUUGAACUGGCAUGAUAAUUUAUUGUAUAAUAUGGUUUUACAAUAUUAUUAAAACCCUAAAGGUUGUGGUA